AUUUCUCCCUGGGGUUCCCUUAAAAAUAUUUGCAGAAUAUUAAAAUGACCUCCCUAGAUCACCAGUGUGUGUAGAAAUGAGAAUUCUUUUGAUUGAUUAGCCAAUUACCACAAAGUACUGUGGUAUAUACCCUUGCAUAUUAACAACUAUGUUAUUAAGAGGUGGAAGGAAUUAAAGAGCUAUAAAUACAUCAAAUGGAGUGAAAUUAACCUCCUGAGUUUGAGACCAACCAACUAAUGACAACUUGCCCACAGAACUAAGAGAAAACCCUGAAGUCAAUUUUACCCUCAGAUAAACAAAGAAAAUGUCAUUGGCAUAGAAAUCUAGAAGAGGUUGCACAGGAAAGCAUCCAUGUGCAUACUGAAUAUCUCCAGAGAAGCAGACUCCAGAGUCUCUCUGAGCAGAGUGUUCCAGUGCUUUGCCACGUUCACGAACUAAUGGGAAAUUUCACAAACACUGGCUAAUAUUAUUGAAAGACAGAAGAGAAAGAAAUGGAGGAGGCAGAUUCUGAAAACGUCUUGAAAAACUGAAAUCUACUUUUUUUUUUUUUUUUUAAUCUGCUUUUAAAACAAUCUGUCAAAGGCUAACAGGAUGACAAAGGUUAAAAAGUGUACUUUUCAAAAUAAAAUGAGGUUUCUAGUACUACUCCGCGAAAUGCCAGAAAAGAAGAAGGUGGCAUAUCAUCAGUCUGUGACUGUGAAUAGAACUAUCUGAUAAAGGAAAUUGAGAAUUACACCCCCAGGCCCCCCAGUCCCCAACAAAAAAAGAAAAUAAUUAAAUAAAAGUAAUAACAGUGAUAAUAAUGUAAUGUUGCUGUUAUGAUUUAUUUGAAUGAUUUAUAUAGGUGCUGCAGUAUUCUGCAAAGAGUACAUUUAGAAAUCUGUUCAGUGAGUGAGACUGAGUUUUAUUAACCUAAUCUUCCUAAAUAUUUUUUUUAAAGCAAAAUAUAUGGGAGAAAAAAAUGGGAACAAAAAUGGUGGGUAAUUUAUUACUGCAGUUUGCUGCAGAUUUAUUUUAGAAAAAAAUCCUGAUUACAAAAAUUAUACUGUUUGGCACACACCACUAAUGCAGUCCUAAUCUUGUCAUAAAUCAUUACAAUACCAACAGAAGUACCUAAUCUCAUAUAUUAUAGUAUGACAUAUGACUUUUUCCUGAUACAUUUUGCUAAGUAACUGCUUCCCCUUAUAUACAGCACAAAAAUCUGCUGCUCUACAGUAUAGAUUUUUCCCCUUUAAUUCAACAUUCGUCACAAUUUCAGACCAUUGAAUUUUCAUGAACAAUGAUAAAGCAGUAUCUGUGAUGUCUUCAUAGACAAAGAAACCUGCUUUGUUCAUAAUAAUUCUUAUUUCUAAGGUCAAUUUUUCCCAUUCUCUUGACUUUGCAUUAUCAAAUCAAUACUAAUCCUUGUGAACGCUCAUCAGGGAAGAAGGUAAAUUAGCAUUGUAUUUUAUUUUUUUAUGAAGAAACAAUCAUCUUCACUUUUAAAUGUCAUAGAAAAAUGUAUACAUCAAUGUUUCUAACAGAUAAGAGGUAUUUCAGUAGCUUUUGGGAACUGGAAAUAUAUAUAUUUUAAAAUGUAUUUCUUAGUUAUCUUCUUCCUGGAGUUAUCAAUGAAAUCUUACCAAGAUUAAACUGCUUUUGAUUCAGAAACUGCUUUCAAAGAAAAUCUGGUAAAAAAAUAAAAAUAAAAGAGCCUCAAGAUUUCUUAAUUGUAGAAUCUACUUCUAAAGUGGUGUUUUGAAAGAAAAGUUCUUCAGAAGUUUAUAGUCAGGUUUCUAAUAAGAACUGUAGCUGUGCAGGUUAUAUAGCAUUUACUGUUUAGUAAUAGCAGGGAAUCUGGAGCCAGUGAUGCAAACACACAUAUUUAACAGCACAAGUGGAUCCCGUGGGGAGUUUGCUCACACUUAGAACCUGUCACAGCCAUACACCAAUAUAUCCCCUUGGAUAUUUUAAAACCCUAUAUGUGCAUUUAUUGUAAUGAUUGUUCUGAAAGAUGUGUAAAGAAGCAAAGUGUUUCUAAUUAAAUAUAGUGUAAAGUGUAUCUUUAAAUAAAGUGUAUCUAAUUAAAUAAAUAAUUGCAGGAACAGAAAAAUAUGGCUUCACUACUUGCUCUGAGGAACAACUGAUAUUUUUUUUUUAUCGCCUACAG
ensembl:lncRNA